rnacentral:rRNA from 1 species
CCUUUGAAGUUAGCGGCGGACGGGUGAGUAACACGUGGGUAACCUACCUAUAAGACUGGGAUAACUUCGGGAAACCGGAGCUAAUACCGGAUAACAUUUAGAACCGCAUGGUUCUAAAGUGAAAGAUGGUUUUGCUAUCACUUAUAGAUGGACCCGCGCCGUAUUAGCUAGUUGGUAAGGUAACGGCUUACCAAGGCGACGAUACGUAGCCGACCUGAGAGGGUGAUCGGCCACACUGGAACUGAGACACGGUCCAGACUCCUACGGAAGGCAGCAG